GGAAGGGCUGUAGCUCAGUGGCAGAGCACCUGCGUUACAUGCAGAAGGUCCCAGGUUCAAUCCUUGGCCUCUCCA